UUUUGAUUAAUAAUUUAAAGUCUAAUCUGCCCACUGAUAAUAUAUUAAAGGGCUGCAGUAUUUUGACUGUACAAAGGUAGCAUAAUCAUUAGUCUCUUAAUUGGUGACUUGUAUGAAGGAUUUGAUGAAAUAUAUACUGUCUCUUUUUAAUUUAUAAAAUUUAAUUUUUUAGUUAAAAAGCUAAAAUAUAUUUAAAAGACGAGAAGACCCUAUAGAGUUUUAUAUUUAAAUAAAUUAAAAUUUUUUAUAAGAUUUAAAAUUUUAAUUUAUUUAAAUAUUUUGUUGGGGUGAUAGAAAAAUUAAAAUAACUUUUUUUAUAAUUUUACAUUAAUAAAUGAAUAAAUGAUCCGUAAUUUACGAUUAAAAGAUAAAAUUACCUUAGGGAUAACAGCGUAAUUUUUUUUUUUAGUUCGAAUAAGAAAAAAAGUUUGCGACCUCGAUGUUGGAUUAAGAUAAAAUUUAAAUGCAAAAGUUUAAAAUUUUUGAUCUG
rnacentral:rRNA from 1 species